rnacentral:tRNA from 1 species
GCUGUGGUUCAGUGGUAGAUCACCUGCUUGGUAUGCAGACAGUCCCAGGUUCAAACCCCAACAUCACCA